GCCAAAGUCGGGAGGAGGGCCUGAGGUUGAAAGGAGCCCCAGGACGACGAAGGGGAUGAAUAGACGGAUGAAUGACGCACAAUUAACUAAUUAAAUCAUCCGGCGUAUUUUCCCCUUCCCUACCACCCCCUCUCAGACUCUGUCUCUUGAGUAUCAUCCCCUUCUGUUUGGAAGACUCGCCGCCAUCUCUUCGCCAUUGUUUCUACAUUCGCAAUGCAAGGGCGUCUAUGUCAGGAAAUAAAAAUUCUCCCCACGUUUACUUCUGGCUCUCAAAAAAUUGGCAAAAUUAGAGUGAAGGUUUUUGACAGUGUUAAAAAGAAAACUUUAUUUGACAAAGGUCAAAAGUCACUGGAUAGGAUCAUUUCCUUGGCGCUGUAAUCCCUCGUAGUGACAACCUGGACCCUUUCGCUGAAGAUCAAACAAUAAUCCCUUAAGAAUUGUCAUCGUCUACAAGAAUCGAGGGUGUCGCCAUUAGUCGAAGAAAAAAUUACCUGUCGCCUGACGCCUCCAUUAAAGGGGCAUUCAUAACUCAAUUUUCAUCUCCUUGCUCAGCCACCUGUCAUCCUCGCGCAAUCGUAUUCAUUACGUUUGGAAAUUAUCAUAAAAUGGUAACUGUUAACAUUGCAAACAUUUAAGAAAAGCAAUCCAGCAAUGGCUUUUAAAAGGACGGAAAAUGGAAAAGGCAAACAGGUCGAUUUUGACUAAAAAAAUGUAAGCCUGCAACAGUCACAGUAAGAGAAUGGCAAUAAUUUCAAGUAUCAAAAUUCUAAUUGCCUCAACUGUCCUUUUACGAAUAAAAAUAAAAUUGGAAUGAAACAUGGUGUCGAGCUGAAACGAGCCACAGCGUAAACUACCGUGUCAUGAUAUUCCACAAAUAAAAACUGUGAUGCUACAUGGGUUAUUUACAACGUAGGGGUGUUCAGAGGUAUGGUUGGCCAAUUUUUGACAAGCAAUAUCACCGAUAUAUAUGGUCCACUGGGAUAACUCAGCAACAACCAAUCAGGAUCAUCUGACAGGAAGUACCCCCUGCUCACACUCAUCCGCCACCUACGUAACCAGGAAUACACCCUGCCUUCGAUCACCGACCAAUUUGUUCUUUAAAACCCAUCGACUGAUUGGCUUGACGAGGCAAUCAGUAUAUUUUUUUAAAAAGUCUCCUUGUUACGUUUUUCUACUUUCAACAUAACCUUUGAGUUAUUCUAUACGUAUAGUGCUUCUAAUGCAAAGUAUCAGAUAGGUGCAAAAGUAAUUGUGGUUUUUGUUAUGAACGCUUUUAAUAAAAGUCGCAAUAUUUGCACCAACCUAAUACUUUGUUGAAUAUUUUUGUUUGUAAUGGUAUAUUAGAUUAAGAAUUGUUUAAUAUUAAUUAUCGUUGUAUCCGAAUAUCAGUUAG